rnacentral:rRNA from 1 species
AUUAGAUACCCGUGUAGUCCUAGCCGUAAACGAUACUCGCUAGGUGUCGGCCACGGUGCGACCGUUGUCGGUGCCGUAGGGAAGCCGUGAGGCGAGCCACCUGGGAAGUACGGCCGCAAGGCUGAAACUUAAAGGAAUUGGCGGGGGAGCACCACAACGGGUGGAGCUUGCGGUUUAAUUGGAUUCAACGCCGGAAAUCUUACCGGGACCGACAGCAAUAUGAAGGCCAGGCUGAAGACUUUGCCGGAUUAGCUGAGAGGAGGUGCAUGGC